UUUGUAGCUGCCUGAACGUUGAAGAGAAACAGCAUGAAAUUAAUAUUGUGUUUAUUUGGCAUCUUACUGGUUGUACUAAAUCAUUCGGUUAUUAGCAUUGAUAAUGAGAGAUGUAGUGACAAUACUCCUAUAGAAGAUAAUUGCGGCGGUAAACCUAAACCGGCAUGGACCUAUACUUUGAAUGUGUGCUGGAAAGUCCAAGAUACUGGAUGUAAAAGUAAAAACAUUUUUAACACAGUUGCCGAGUGCGAAAAGGUCUGCUACUAAGCAGAUGAAAUUUGGAUUACUUGUGGAUAUUGAAAGCCAACGUUUUUCUUUCAAGCUUAAAAAUUGUUUCAAAAUCUUUUAAAAUUAAACAUAGAAAAUUCUCAAUUCUUAAAAUACAAUUUUAUAAUUCGAAAUAGAUAAA